rnacentral:rRNA from 1 species
CUCGAGUCUUUGACGCAAGUUGCGCCCGAAGCCAUUAGGCCGAGGGCACGCCUGCCUGGGUGUCACACAUCGUCACCCCCAUGCAAACGCGCAUCGGGGCGAAUGCUGACCUCCCGCGAGACACCCAUCGUGGUUGGUCGAAAACCAAGGUAACGUCGGGGUCCCCCCGCAAGAAACGGUGGAUGAGCAACGCUCGAGACCAAUUGCGGCGACGGACACUCGGUGAUCCAACGGACCGACCCUAUUGCGUUCGUUGCAGAUAGCAAAGACGCUCUUAACGAGACCUCAGGUCAGGCGGGGCUACCCGCUGAGUUUAAGCAUAUCAAUAAGCGGAGGAAAAGAAACUAACAAGGAUUCCCUUAGUAACGGCGAGCGAACCGGGAACAGCCCACCAUGAGAAUCGGUCGCCCCUGGCGUUCGAAUUGUAGUUAG